rnacentral:rRNA from 1 species
GACGAACGCUGGCGGUGUGCUUAACACAUGCAAGUCGAACGGAAAGGCCCUGCUUUUGUGGGGUGCUCGAGUGGCGAACGGGUGAGUAACACGUGAGUAACCUGCCCUUGACUUUGGGAUAACUUCAGGAAACUGGGGCUAAUACCGGAUAGGAGCUCCUGCUGCAUGGUGGGGAUUGGAAAGUUUCGGCGGUUGGGGAUGGACUCGCGGCUUAUCAGCUUGUUGGUGGGGUAGUGGCUUACCAAGGCUUUGACGGGUAGCCGGCCUGAGAGGGUGACCGGCCACAUUGGGACUGAGAUACGGCCCAGACUCCUACGGGAGGCAGCAGUGGGGAAUAUUGCACAAUGGGCGGAAGCCUGAUGCAGCAACGCCGCGUGCGGGAUGACGGCCUUCGGGUUGUAAACCGCUUUCGCCUGUGACGAAGCGUGAGUGACGGUAAUGGGUAAAGAAGCACCGGCUAACUACGUG